ACGGAACCAAAUGGAGGGAAUCCCGCCGGCCGCGCUAGACGAGACCCGACUUCGGGCUUCCCUCCCCACCUCGAACCCCAACCCCGGGGGGACCCGAGACUCGGGGUCACGGCCUCCCCUUGCCCAAGAAACUUCGGGGAACGGGGGGAGGCGUGCCUAAACUUUUUAAAAGGCUCGAAUCCCACCCCCCCCCCGGCUUUUUUACCGAAAGCAUCAAACUCUCCCAUUUCCCGGGACCCCGAAGGGCCAGGCUCGCUCUCUGCCCGGUCCCCGAGUUGGGGGGCGCCCCUGAGGGGAAGACCUCCCAUCUCCGCCUUGAGGGUCGGAGAGCAGCUCCAAGAGCCGAGGCCGAGCGUCCGAGCCUGGCUUGGGUCCCGCCGCCGCGUCCCGCCCACGUUCGGGGCUGGGGGUCGGAGUGGGGGUGUUUCGGGGUGUGGGGGGGACCCCCCGAGACGCCGCCGCCGCGCCCGCUCGCGACAAACGGCCCCGCCCCGCCCCGCCGGGCCAGAAGGGGCGCUGUCGACGCCGCUACCUUCGCUCCGUGCGCCCGGCUGGGGCGAGCCAGGCGCCUGCGUGCAGGCCGAGAGCGGCCCGGCCGGCCCGGGGGUGCAGGGAGGACACGGGGACCCCCAAGCCCGCCCUCCUAUCGCCCCGGCCUCAAACGGCCCGCGGCUCCGCUCCGUGGGUCGCCGGCCCCGGACGCCCGGUGCCCGCCUCCCAGCGCCGGGCUACGGCGGGCGCCGAGGGCCAAUCCCCGCGCCGCUCGCCCUCCGCCGUCCCGCGCUCUGCCCGCCCCGCUCCCCGGCCGGCCACGCCGCCCGGCCUGAGCCCCGGCGUCGGGGGGUAGGGGGUGCGGGAGGACUCCAAGGGCGCUCGGAGCCUCUCUCCGUCGCUCCGCGGGCCGCCGCGCCCGCAGAGGCCUCCUCACGCCCGGGCCCCGCCGGAGCCGCCGCCGCCGCCGCGCGCGCGCCUCCCGGGGCAGUUCCGCUGCCCUCUGGCGCAGCCCCGCCCUGGUCCCCGCACUUACCCCCACCUCGGCGGCCGGCCGCCCGCAGAGGCCCCCGGCCGAGUCCCAGUCUCCGUCGCGCUGCACGGCGCGCAGUCCCGCCCCCGCUUAAAGCCGCUGCGCCGGCCGCCCGAGGACUAGGCCCGGGCGCACCGCCCUCCAGUGGGUGCGGCCUGGGCGGGCAGCGGGAGCGGGGAGGGGCGUCACGCCCGGGUGGGCUCGGCCCGGCGCUUUUAAGCCUGCGUCCGCUGGGGCGGGGCUGCCGGCCCGGGAGGGAGGGGCAGGCAGGUGACCGGCGUCUCUGGGCUCUUUCUGUCCUGAAUGUCUUCUCCGGAGCCAGGAAGCUGGGGAGGAGGGACGCUUGCCGCUGCAGCGAGGGCGGUGGGGGCACCCUUAGCAGGCGGCGGACGGGCCCGGGAAGAGGCCACCUCCAACGUAGCAGGCUGGGCGGGGUUUUCUCCUUCGCCGGCGUCCUGGGGGUCCUUCUGAGUCCGGGGAGGGGGAGGAGGUAA
ensembl:lncRNA